GCGGCGGGGUUCUCGCCGUAAACAGGGCUUCCCAGAGACGUGGUGGACAACAACAACUCCCAUCAUCCCCAGCUGCAAGGGCCUUUGGCUGGGGACGAUGGGAGUUGUAGUCAACGGACAGGCCCAGUGGUCUCAUUGACCAGCACCGGGAGUGGGGAGGUGAGCCUGCUCUGCUCACCCCCCAGCCACCACCCCUCGGCCGUGCACAUGGCAGCUUAGAUUAUGCAAAAAGAAAGCAGAGGUUCGGCACGGCGGGCACAGGGUGGCUGCAGGAGCCCCCCCCCAAAAAAGCACCCCCCCGAACAAACCAAAACACCCUUUUCCAAAAGAAGUUGGCCCUGACAGCAUCAUCAACAAGAAGGGCAAGCCCACUGAAACAGGGCUACAUAUGUACAGGCACGUGCCCGGAGUUGGAUCAGUGCCUGGGGAUGUAGGAGGUAGUGAGGAAUAUUUUUGCUUUUAUUUCUAUACCUCUAACGCUGCAAUCCUGUGCACAUAAAGUCCCAUUGAAAUCACUUGCACUGACUUGUGAGCAAACAUGCUUGAGCAGUAUAAAUCGUGAUCUAAAUCUUCAAAUAAUAACAAAUAAAAGAAAAUUUC